GGUGAGGUGGGUGAGUGGCUGAAACCAGCAGUUUGCUAAACUGCCGAACGUGCAAGCGUUCCGGGGGUUCGAAUCCCCCUCUCACCGCGA
rnacentral:tRNA from 1 species